rnacentral:rRNA from 1 species
UAGGGAAUCUUCCGCAAUGGACGCAAGUCUGACGGAGCAACGCCGCGUGAGUGAAGAAGGAUUUCGGUUCGUAAAACUCUGUUGUUAGAGAAGAACAGCGCAUAGAGUAACUGUUAUGCGUGUGACGGUAUAUAACCAGAAAGCCACGGCUAACUACGUGCCAGCAGCCGCGGUAAUACGUAGGUGGCAAGCGUUGUCCGGAUUUAUUGGGCGUAAAGCGAGCGCAGGCGGUCAAUUAAGUCUGAUGUGAAAGCCCCCGGCUCAACCGGGGAGGGUCAUUGGAAACUGGUUGACUUGAGUGCAGAAGAGGAGAGUGGAAUUCCAUGUGUAGCGGUGAAAUGCGUAGAUAUAUGGAGGAACACCAGUGGCGAAGGCGACUCUCUGGUCUGUAACUGACGCUGAGGCUCGAAAGCGUGGGGAGCGAACAGG